UACGUAGGGGGCAAGCGUUGUUCGGAUUCAUUGGGCGUAAAGAGCUCGUAGGCGGUCUGUCGCGUCGGCUGUGAAAACUCGGGGCUCAACCCCGAGCCUGCAGUCGAUACGGGCAGACUAGAGUGCUGUAGGGGAGACUGGAAUUCCUGGUGUAGCGGUGAAAUGCGCAGAUAUCAGGAGGAACACCGGUGGCGAAGGCGGGUCUCUGGGCAGUAACUGACGCUGAGGAGCGAAAGCGUGGGGAGCGAACAGG
rnacentral:rRNA from 1 species